UACGGGAGGCAGCAGUAAGGAAUAUUGGUCAAUGGACGAAAGUCUGAACCAGCCAUGCCGCGUGAAGGAUGAAGGCCCUCUGGGUUGUAAACUUCUUUUAUCUGGGACGAAAAAAGCUCAUUCUUGAGCACUUGACGGUACCAGAGGAAUAAGCACCGGCUAACUCCGUGCCAGCAGCCGCGGUAAUACGGAGGGUGCAAGCGUUAUCCGGAUUCACUGGGUUUAAAGGGUGCGUAGGUGGGUCUGUAAGUCAGUGGUGAAAUCUCCGAGCUUAACUCGGAAACUGCCAUUGAUACUAUAGGUCUUGAAUUUUCUGGAGGUAAGCGGAAUAUGUCAUGUAGCGGUGAAAUGCUUAGAUAUGACAUAGAACACCCAUUGCGAAGGCAGCUUACUACGGGAUAAUUGACACUGAGGCACGAAAGCGUGGGGAUCAAACAGGAUUAGAUACCCUGGUAG
rnacentral:rRNA from 1 species